rnacentral:SRP_RNA from 1 species
UGGCUAGACUGGAGGGUUAGGGGUCCUCUGUAAGCACAUACCCCCUUUGGUGCAGUCGAAGUUCAGAAGGCGGCUUUUUGAAGAAACACAGGCCUGAAAAAAUGGUAUAGAAACCUCGCCCUACAGGAUUAAUGGUGGUAAAAUUUUUACUGUAGGGUAAAUAUAAAUUACCUUAGUUUUAGGAAUGUGUCAGGCCCGGGAGGGAGCAGCUCUACUAAUUACAAUUAAUGCUUGUAGAAUCACGGGGUGGAGCUGUUUUUUCAGAUCACCUAUGUUUUGGAGAUUUGUCCACUUCUGAACGUGCC